UGCAACAAAUUAAAGGUUUGAGGAAAGUUUGCUAAUAUUUCUGCUGCAAUUUUCCCUAAAUAAAUGUAAGUGAUAAGCUUUAUGAUAUUUAUAUGCUUUUCUAAAGAUUUUUGUAUUUUCAAUUUUUAUUAAUUUCCUAUUUGCUUAUUGAUAAUUCUAUUUUAAAGAAUUUCAUAAACAAUUUUUUUUUCUUUAACCAAUUAACUUUAUGUAAUUUGGAACCUUUAUCAAAGUGAGGUUUUAAGCGAUCGCCUAUCCCACCUAUAGUCAGGGAUGCCAUUGUGUAAAUGCUCAACAAGAUGUACAUUAUAAUUUUCACCUUAUUCUUCUAGAUUCCCAUAACAUGGCAUCCACAAGCUUAUUUUUAUGCUUUCCAUUGGGCACACCAGCGUUCUUCCAAAAAUAGUAUUCAUACUAAUGGCUUAUGCUUUUACACAUGUUUUGCACUCUAUUUUGGAAAGACAAUUAGUCAUUUCCGAAUCCAUUAAGAACAAAACAAAGAAAAGUACCAAUCAAUUUGUCGGACAACAAUACAUUUUGUGUAACUUUUUCGAUUAAUUCAAGAUUUAAAAAUAGGAAAACAAAAAUAGUUGAAAGAUUAAGAUUAGGUAUUUAGCACGAUUUUACAAAAAAAUAAAAAUGUAUCGUGUUUGUUUCUCAAAAUGAUAUAAAAAGUGUAAAUGCUCAAAAUAUUUGGGAAAAUAUUAAAAAUAGAUUUUGGGGAAAAAUGUAUUCUGGAAUGAUGAUUUUUAAGAAAAUGUAUAAUUAAAAAAUAAGAAAAAAGUCAUAAAUUUACGUAUAAUAUUAUUUUAUUGUAAAAUGUGUGAAUAAUAAUGAAAAAGAAAAAGUGUAUUUUUUUCCUUUUAAAAUGGAGUCCAAACAGGAGCAUAUUUUUUUUUUUUUUUUUUUUUUACAAGGUGUCCGGGCUUGCGUCCGACUAGAUCCUUGUCCCUGAACCUCCGGCCCCUCAGCAGUUCAGGGAGGUAAAUCGCAGGAUGUGCCCUUAUUGGCUCCCAGGUUUCCACAACUCAUUUGGACUCCUUCCGCAAAGAGAGCUCUCCUCGCUGGGCGUUUGUUCAACCAAAUGGCUUCCCCUCCAUUUUAGCACCCAGUGUUAACUCCAGGAAUCGAACUCUCCACCCUUGCUUCCAGCGUCCCAGCGAAGUGAUUGUUCCACCAAUUCGGAUGUGCCCUGGGGGGCUGGAGCAUAUUUUCUUUAUUAUGAAAGGAUGUAGAAUCAAUAAAACCUUCUUUUCAUUCGAAAGUAGUUAUCUUCUUUAAAUUAUAAAUUUAUUCUACAAGAGAAUCAUGAAUGGAGGGUUUUACAUCCUUUCCGUUCGUCUCAUUGACCUUUAAGAAUGAGUGAAUUUUUCUCUGAUCCAAAUUUUCUAUGGACAGAUUUCAUUGAGUCAGACGUUUCAAUAACGUCAUAAAGGAGGUGGGAAGGACAGCUUGUCUAAUAUAUAGUAUGCAGCAUGUAUUGACGAUAGUUGGAGUUGACGCUUCUCUCAUGGUUCCUCAUUUGAGACCCUUAAGAGGAUCAAACUGGUUAAUCGAGUGCACAUAUUAAACAUGAUCACGUAUAAACGAUGGACUUCUUUAUGGUCUUUUGGGCAAUUUUUGAAGAGAAUUAUGCAUUUUAACUUGAAUAAUGCUAUUUGGUAUCACUGAUACUAAAACAACUUAGGUAAUAAUACUAUGGGAUUAAAUGAG
rnacentral:lncRNA from 1 species